rnacentral:lncRNA from 1 species
AAGACGCCAGAGUGGCACCGGAAGAUGUCAGAGUGGCACCGGAAGAUGUCAGAGUGGCACCGGAAGACGUCAGAGUGGCACAGGAAGACGCCAGAGUGGCACCGGAAGACGCCAGAGUGGCACCGGAAGACGCCAGAGUGGCACCGGAAGACGUCAGAGUGGCACCGGAAGAUGCCAGAGUGGCACCGGAAGACGCCAGAGUGGUACUGGAAGAUGCCAGAGUGAGCAUGUGGCAAGGGAACACUAAACUGUAAGAUAGU